UUUUCAGAUGCAACUUUGGGUGCAUGACUUUCCUCACCCUUUUUGGGUCGAUAUUCUGGAUGAAUUACCCAACAGCUAUGUCAUGUAGAUCAGGCCGUCCAUACGAAAACUUGGCAAUCACUGCGUAUUUCAAGUUUUGUCUUUGGGAUAGUUCUUCAAAUUCUUUUUUUGUCCAUGACAUUGUUGGUUCUCCAUACAAGUAUGUAAUAGGUUUAGUUGUUAACUUCUCUUCUUGCGUGGAUGGUUGUAGGGCUGUAGCAUAAUUCAAUUUUGGUAUGGUAUUAGUAGUAGGGUGUGGAGGCGCACCAGCCACCAAUGGUGGCCGGCCGCCGGCCGUCAUGGCCAUGCCGAGGUUUUCAAGUAUUAGGGUUUUGCGUCAAUAUUGAAGAGAGAGAAGAGAGCUUUAUUUUCCUUGAGGCAGCCAACUUUUUUUUUCAGGUAAAUCACAGGCCAAAAGUCAUAAGUUGGUCAUUCAUAACUUAUUAUUUUUCAGCUUAUAAUCACUUCAUGAUC